AGGCCGGUGGUGUAGUGGUAUAAACCUUCAACUCCCAACCGAAACGACAGGGGUUCGAAUCCCGCCUGGUCAA